rnacentral:misc_RNA from 1 species
AUAAAAAAAAAAAAAAAAGAAAAGGUUUCGGUGCAUGUUGGUAUACGCGAUAAGAGUAUCGUCGCUUUCGGUUCUGUGUCCGUACACGUGGUUGCAACGUUUUCGGUGAGAAUAGUUUUCGAUCUAAUCGAUUUGACGGUAGAUGAUGUAGGAUUGCAGUUAAUGUCUCACAGAGAAUCCAAAUUCCCACAAUUUUUUUGGGAUGUUCUAUUGACGGCGCGUCACGGGCACUGCGAUUUCUCCUCCCAUUUCCCCCGCUUGUCCGUGUGCUUUUUGAUACGAUUUUUCUUACCAUUUUUUUGGCCAUGCUUUUUUGUUUUUCAUUUUUCCUGGUUUAAUAUUAAUAUUUUUUAUUUUUUCGUUCUAUUAUAUAUUCCAUAUUGGGAUUGUGC